rnacentral:rRNA from 1 species
AGCUAUAUGAGUUAAUAUAUAGUUAUUUCUGCUCCAUGAUUAUUAAAUAGCCGCAGUACCCUAACUGUGCAAAGGUAGCAUAAUCAGUUGGCUUUUAAUUGAAGUCUGGUAUGAAUGAAAAUAUGGGUGGUAACUGUCUUAACAUAUUUAUUCGAAUUUAUUAAGCAAGUGCAAAUACUUGCAAAUCUCAAAAAGACGAGAAGACCCUAGAAACUUGAAGUAGUUUUUGUUGGGGCGACAGAAUUACAUUUAACUAAUUUUAAGAUACAUGACAUUAAAUUGAAAGGGUAAGUUACUCUAGGGAUAACAGCAUAAUUUUAAUAGUUUGUGACCUCGAUGUUGGACUAGGUAUUAUACCCUUAAGGCAAGGGUAUAAGAUGCUCUGUUCGAGCAAUUUCACCUACAU